CUGACGUAGGUACCUGACGUCACCGCGCUACAGUCUGCAGCGAGGAGUACUUGCUGGAGUCCGAGGAAAACACGGAAGUGGCGGCAGCGCCGCGGGUUUUUCCCGGGGAUGAACCCGCCAGAGUGGGAGAGCUCCGGAGAACAUCUGCGCUGUGUGUCGAUGCACCUUACGAGAGAAUAAGACCAGCAAGCAAGGCAACUGCAAUGAAGCAUCAAGAAAGACAUGAGCAGGCCUGCCACCCUGAGACUGAUAAUUCAUGAGAAGACAUUUCUGUCGAAGUGGAUGGUGAGCAAAGAUGGUGGCCACGUUUUGGAGCAGCACCUGGAUUUUGCAGAUGGCUAUGUAUUCUUUGGCUGCUUGUCUUUUUUCCCCUCAUUAUGUUUCUGUUGCCUAAAGAUUCUUUGUGAGGAUGAAUCCAGAGGACACAACAUAAUGCACUGCAAAACGUCCUAAGACAGGAGAAAUGGUGAAGAUGCACUGUUCCAGCAUUAGAAGUCUGUAUUUUUAAGUGUUAUACAUGCAAUGUUUUAAAUAAAGAAUUUGAUAUUUUGUA